UGGGGAAUAUUGCGCAAUGGGCGAAAGCCUGACGCAGCCACGCCGCGUGGGUGAUGAAGGCCUUCGGGUUGUAAAGCCCUGUCGGGAGGGACGAAGUUCUGACGGUACCUCCAAAGAAAGCACCGGCUAACCCCGUGCCAGCAGCCGCGGUAAUACGGGGGGUGCGAGCGUUGCUCGGAAUUAUUGGGCGUAAAGCGUACGCAGGCGGCUCGAUUAGUCGAGUGUGAAAUCCCGGGGCUCAACCCCGGACUGGCAUUCGAAACUGUCGAGCUUGAGUGCGGGAGAGGGAAGCGGAAUUCCUGGUGUAGAGGUGAAAUUCGUAGAUAUCAGGAGGAACACCGGUGGCGAAAGCGGCUUCCUGGCCCGAUACUGACGCUCAUGUACGAAAGCGUGGGGAGCAAACAGG
rnacentral:rRNA from 1 species